ACAUGGUUAGCGUGAAGCUGAGAGAUAUAUAAUAUAAUAUAAGCUUAAUAUAUAAAUAUAAAAUAUAUGUAUACAUUUUAAAAAAUACAAGAAUGACACAGUUGCUCUUAGCAGGGACGAGGGUCAUGGUUGAGAAAGGCUGGGAGAGUGGGAGAGGCAGGGGCACAGCGGUGCACACCUGUAAUCCUAGCGGCUUGGGAGGCUGAGGCAGGAGGAUCUCGCGUUCACAGCUAGCCUCAGCAACUUAGCGAGACCCUAAGCAACUUGGUGAGACCCUGUCUCUAAAUUUAAAAAAAAAAAGGGCUGGGGCUGUGAGCGCCCUGGGGUUCAAUCUCUGGUACCGGAACCAAACCAAACCAAACCAACCAACAAACAAAAAAAACUUAUAAGAAAUGUUGGGAGAGACAUGCUUCUUGCCGGGGGUCUUCUCCAAGGCAGAGACCAAACACAUUUUUCUGCCAGAAACCCCAUGCCUAUGUCCAUUUCCUACAAAGAUCGCUUUUUUGAGAAAAAUUUAAAAUAGCCAUUUCCAAUGGCUUCUCUAAAAGAUGCCCUGGUUCCUCAGAAACGAGAGGUCUCUGUCUCUUUGGAGUGUCACAGAACUCCUUCCUGAUGAAUAGUCAGGCAGUUUGAAUGAUCCUUUUGUACCAAAGAGUUAAAUCCUCACUUUCUUAGGGCAGGUGGCUCGCAGCUUGUAACGUCAAGUUACCUCUUAUGUUUCUUGGUAGGUUACAAGCUCCCAGUAACAGGGAGACAGCCCAUCCUGCACUCUGCGGAGUGUGUUGCUCUCUAACACGGUGACAUCAAUCUCUUUCCUGGCUCAGGCUUUAUAACACCCCGAUCUCAGUAUAUCUGCUCCCCUAGCCUGCUAUUUCCCAUACAUGUAGGAUUCUGGGAGUCAGGUUAUUACUCUUAGCAGAAUCUAUCCGUAAUCUCACAGGGCUGGCAGGGAGGUUGAAAUAUUGUUAGAACAAUAUUGAGGUAUAAAUCUUCCUCCCUCCGUUGUCGAGUCCUUGGCGCGGGUCAAUCAUUUGCUAUUGCUUAACUGCACGCUGAUGGCUGUUGGUAUUGAUCACAGGUCAAUUAGCUGGCUCUGGGCAACCCACAUUUUUUAGUGCUGUUCAUUACCUUGUCUUCGCAUUGGCUCCCGGGGAUGAGGUGUCCUAGGAUCUGAAGAUACGAGGUGCAAGUGACUCCGACCUCUCUCUUACCUCAGCAGUGGCUGUAUUUAAACAAUUUGUUUGUUUUUCUCCAAACCACAUCGCUGUGACCGAGGGUUGCAAGGGUUUGCUUUUUUUCCUCUCCUGUUGAUUCUACCUGCUCCCCCAAUACUGGGGACUGAACCCAGGGGUGCUCUGCCACUGAGUAGUUGCAUCCCAGUCUGCUUUAUUUUGAGAUAGGGUUUGAUUGUUUCCUGUUCUAAGAUUCUGAGAUCCCUCCUUCAGGAAAACGUGUCUCCAUCAGCAGCAGGAGAGAGUUCUAGCAGAGGACCUGGGAUGGAGCUGAAGUCCGCUGUGCUGGAGACAGACUCGGGGGGGAGGUUGACAGACAUUUGGUUUCCUUUAACAAUUUCAGUGCUGCUGUUUUGUGACCUUGAGAAGUUGUCCCCAAUACACAGGAGUCCACCCACAGCUAAGAGCAGCAGGUGGAGACAGCCAUCAGUGGGCCCUGAAAUGUCACUUAAGCACAGACCUCGGACUCUCUGCACUGUGCGAAAGUCCUGUGGAACAAGAGCUGGACUUGAGAAGCCAGAGUGCGGGACAAGAACAAUGUGGAAACUAAAAGGAAACACUCUCAGGAUCAGGUGGUUUUCCUGAGCUUCACCGCCAAAGAGACAGCAAGAAUGCCAACCAGCUGCUGAGGGGCCCGAGGCUGCCUUUUAAUUUAGGAGACAGGGUCUCACUAAGUUGCCGAGGCUGGCCUUGAACUUACAAUCCUGCUGCCACAGCUUCCCAGGUUGCUGGGAUCACAGGUGCACACUACCCUGGCUGGCUCCCUAGGCUGCACGGAACAAAGCCCCAGCACAAUUUAGAGCUUACCCUUCAUGGAAAUGAGUUCCUAAUAUCAGCCCAAUUCUGCGUUCAUUUUCUGUUCUCAUGGCCCUGUGCCAGGGCUUUAUUUUAUUUAUGAAAUUGUGUCAUAUGAGGCAAAACUCCUAUUGUAGGUUGAGAAGGGCCAUUGUCAUCCUGGGAUAUUUACUGUACGCCUAGGUGCUGAGGUGUAAUCUGUCCUCUGCAGUAAUGCAGAUACGAAAGCCAGUGGUAUUUAUUUAUAAUAACGCGGGAGGCAGCCUGCAGGGAAGUGUCAUCUUGUUUGUAAUCAAUCCCAGUGUGAGGCUGUUGUUGCCGCACAAUCAGGUUUUGCAUUAAGUGACAAAUUGGCUUCGUCUUCUUAUUCUGACUGUCAUUUUUCUUCAGUGGGGAUAUAUCAUCUCUGUUACAAGGCCUUGGAGCUUACACACACACACACACAAAUGCAUGCCUUGUGAAUGAGCUCAGGAAAAAAGCCACCAUCUCCCAUGGGCUUACAAACAAACCCUAAUUCCUGCCACUCCUGGGAAUGAGCACGAAUGUGUUGAAGAAAGCUGGCAAAGUAGAAGAGCGUGCUGUGCGUGUGGUGAGGUAAACAUGGCUGUAUCUGGUGAAGGCGUGUCAUUGCUACGGAUUGAAUUGAUUCGACAAAUCCAUACACUGAAUCCCUACUACCAACGUGAGUGUGUUUAAAGACAGGGUUGGAGCUGGGGGUGUAGCUCAUUGGCAUAGUGCUUGUCUAGCCCACAUGAGGCCUAGGUUCAACCCCAGUACAAACACAAAAAAUGGGUCUUUGAGAGGUAAUUAAGGUUAAAUGAGGUCAUAGGGGUGGCACCCUAAUCCAAUAUGGCUGGCACUUCUGAGAUGAGGAAGAGGCACUAGGGAUAUGGGUACAGAGUUUUCUCUCUGAAGACACAGCAAUGUGGUAGUCAUCUGCAAGCCAGGGAGAGAGUCCUCAGGAGAAACCAAAUCUGCCGAUAACUUGAUCUUCAACUACCAGCUUCCAGAACUGUGAGAAAGUGGAUUUCUGUUGUUUUAACUGCCCUGUCUGUGUCAUUGUGUUAUAGAAGUCUCAGCAGACUCACACGGUCAUUAAUAAACUGACACUGGUGCUGUGUUCUGGA